rnacentral:snRNA from 1 species
GGAUGUGAGGGCGACCUGGCUGCGACAUCUGUCACCCCAUUGAUCGCCAGGGUUGAUUCGGCUGAUCUGGCUGGCUAGGCGGGUGUCCCCCUCCUCCCUCACCGAUCCAUGUGCGUCCCUCCCGAAGCUGCGCGCUUGGUCGAAGAGGACAACCUUCCCCCCCCGAGGAGAGGACCGGUCUUCGGUCAAGGGUAUACGAGUAGCUGCGCUCCCCUGCUAGAACCUCCAAACAAGCUCUCAAGAAAAACAUUCUCUUUCAGUCUAGGUAGCAUGUAGCCCAGAACAUGGGAGAGAGCAUCAUGGCCCAUGACCCUAAGAAGGUUGCCAGACACUU